AAUCCCAGUCACAAAUUUUCCUGAUGAUAUCUAGGAAACUGGGCAACAUCAAGUCAGCUUCAUGCUCCACAAUUCGCAACGGUACGGUCACUGAUUCGAGCGCUUCUUUUAGGGUUUCUGUUGGAUUUUGUGACGGUGAUGAGAGCGAUGGUCCGUUAAGCUGUGGUGAUUAGGAAGCUUUAUCAUCCACAACUGCAAAUUACACCCUUUACUGUUUUUGAAAUUUGAAAGAAAAAUGUCUGGAAGGAAUCGUGGACCUCCUCUUCCAAUGAAAGGUGUUCCACAUGGUGGACUACCCUCUAUUCAUGAACCUCCGUUUGGCAGAGCCAUCGGCCUAAUGCCCCAUCCUGCAGUUCUUGAGGAGAUGAGACAAUCCCAGUUUGGUAGGGACCCCAGAGAACUCCAUCCUCACCCAGCUAUCAUCGAGGAGCGGCUUGCAGCUCAACAUCAAGAUAUUCAAGUGCUUUUGGUUGAUAAUCAGAGACUAGCUGCCACCCAUGUGGCACUUAAGCAGGAAUUAGAAUCAGCCCAGCAUGAGCUUCAACAAACGGCCCACUAUGCGAGUUCUUUGCAUGCAGAGAAGGAUAUGCAGAUGAGGGAAUUGUAUGAGAACUCUAUUAAAAUGGAAAUGGAUCUUGGUGGGGCGAAGGCUACGAGGGAUGAGCUUCUGCAAGUUCAGGCUGAUGUCAAGGAGUUAACUGCUGCAAGGCAAGAGCUUACAGCUCAGGUCCAAACAAUGACUCAGGAUUUAUCCAGGGUUACUGCAGAUUUAAAACAGUGCCCAACUCUGAAGGCUGAAAUCGAGGGUCUGAAACAGGAGUUGCAGCGUGCAAGGGCUGCCAUUGAGUAUGAGAAGAAGGGAUAUGCAGAGAAUUAUGAACAUGGUCAGGUGCUGGAGAAGAAAUUGAUCUCAAUGGCUCGAGAGUUGGAAAAACUUCGUGCUGAGAUGGCUAAUGCAGAAAAGAGAGCACAUGCUGCUGCUGCUGUUGGUAAUCCAGGUUAUAAUGGAAAUUAUCCCGAAACUGGAUAUGCUGGAAAUGCUUAUCCUGCCAAUUAUGGCAUGAAUCCUAUGAAUACUGUACAUGCUGGUGCAGAAAACUAUCCUCAAUAUGGACCUGGUCCUAGUUCUUGGGGUGCCUAUGACAUGCAUCGAGCUCAAGGAAACAGAUAGACUAGUAUGCAUAUCAUGCUAAACUGUGGACUGUUAUUUGCUUUUGAAUUAUUGGAAUUUAAGCUGGAACUAGCUGAUGAAGCAUAUGACUACUUUUUUGUAUGGCUAGCGAGAUGAUCUAUGGGAGCAACAAUGUCACACUUGAUGGUGACUUGGAAACCUUUAAUGGAAGAAACGGACAGUAGACUUUGAAAACUUUGUUCUGGUUUUAAUGGAGAGCUUCAAAACAUAAUGAUUCUGCCACUAUCCAAAAUUUCACAAGCAGGGAAGUCCCCUCCGAGGGACAUAAACUGAAACCUAUGAGGCAUUCAUUCAUUGUGCCCUCUCAUAGGGAAUUAGCCACCUGGUUUUGGAGGACCAGUUGGUUGGCAAAUGGUGGAAGUCUUUGAAGGUUUGCGGUCACUGGCAGAGCUAUGCAUGAAGUAGUGGGUUCAAUUGAACCUGCUGUGAACUGUGAAUUUUUUUUUUUUGGAGAGGUUUUCAUAGACUGACACCAUUAAAAUUGUUCAUAAAAAUAGAUUUAUCAACAAAAAAAAUUUAUUUAAAAAAAUAUAUAAUUACAUGUUUUUAUCAUAUUUUUA